AUUGAACGCUGGCGGCAGGCUUAACACAUGCAAGUCGAGCGGGGUGAUGGUGCUUGCACUAUUACUUAGCGGCGGACGGGUGAGUAAUGCUUAGGAAUCUGCCUAUUAGUGGGGGACAACAUCUCGAAAGGGAUGCUAAUACCGCAUACGUCCUACGGGAGAAAGCAGGGGAUCACUUGUGACCUUGCGCUAAUAGAUGAGCCUACGUCGGAUUAGCUAGUUGGUGGGGUAAAGGCCUACCAAGGCGACGAUCUGUAGCGGGUCUGAGAGGAUGAUCCGCCACACUGGGACUGAGACACGGCCCAGACUCCCACGGGAGGCAGCAGUGGGGAAUAUUGGACAAUGGGGGGAACCCUGAUCCAGCCAUGCCGCGUGUGUGAAGAAGGCCUUAUGGUUGUAAAGCACUUUAAGCGAGGAGGAGGCUCUUUUGGUUAAUACCCAAGAUGAGUGGACGUUACUCGCAGAAUAAGCACCGGCUAACUCUGUGCCAGCAGCCGCCGUAA
rnacentral:rRNA from 1 species